UACGGGGGGGGGCAAGCGUUGUUCGGAAUUACUGGGCGUAAAGGGCUCGUAGGCGGCCAACUAAGUCAGACGUGAAAUCCCUCGGCUUAACCGGGGAACUGCAUCUUAUACUGCAUCACUAGAGUACGGUAGAGGGUAGUGGAAUUUCCGGUGUAGCGGUGAAAUGCGUAGAUAUCGGAAGGAACACCAGUGGCGAAGGCGGCUACCUGGACUGAUACUGACACUGGAGGCGCGAGAGCGUGGGGAGCAAACAGG
rnacentral:rRNA from 1 species